UACGUAGGGCGCAAGCGUUGUUCGGAUUUACUGGGCGUAAAGGGCGCGUAGGCGGACAGUUUAGUCGGGGGUGAAAGCCCGGGGCUCAACCUCGGAAUUGCCUUCGAUACUGGCUGUCUUGAGUACGGGAGAGGUGUGUGGAACUCCGAGUGUAGAGGUGAAAUUCGUAGAUAUUCGGAAGAACACCAGUGGCGAAGGCGACACACUGGCCCGUUACUGACGCUGAGGCGCGAAAGCGUGGGGAGCAAACAGG
rnacentral:rRNA from 1 species